UACGUAGGGGGCAAGCGUUGUCCGGAUUUAUUGGGCGUAAAGAGCGUGUAGGCGGCCAAACAGGUCAGCUGUGAAAACUCGAGGCUCAACCUCGAGACGUCGGUUGAAACCGUUUGGCUAGAGUCCGGAAGAGGAGAGUGGAAUUCCCGGUGUAGCGGUGAAAUGCGCAGAUAUCGGGAGGAACACCGGUGGCGAAGGCGGAUCUCUGGGCCAUUACUGACGCUGAGGAGCGAAAGCGUGGGGAGCGAACAGG
rnacentral:rRNA from 1 species